GACGAACGCUGGCGGCGUGCUUAACACAUGCAAGUCGAACGGAAAGGCCCUGCUUUUGUGGGGUGCUCGAGUGGCGAACGGGUGAGAAACACGUGUGUAACCUGCCCUUGACUUUGGGAUAACUUCAGGAAACUGGGGCUAAUUCCGGAUAGGAGCUCCUGCUGCAUGGUGGGGGUUGGAAAGUUUCGGCGGGUGGGGAUGGACGCGCGGCUUAUCAGCGUGUUGGUGGGGUAGUGGCUUACCAAGGCUUUGACGGGUAGCCGGCCGGAGAGGGUGACCGGCCACAUUGGGACUGAGAUACGGCCCAGACUGCUACGGGAGGCAGCAGUGGAGAAUAUUGCACAAUGGGCGGAAGCCUGAUGCAGCAACGCCGCGUGCGGGAUUACGGCCUUCGGGUUGUAAACCGCUUUCGCCUGUGACGAAGCGUGAGUGACGGUAAUGGGUAAAGAAGCGCCGGCUAACUACGUG
rnacentral:rRNA from 1 species